rnacentral:rRNA from 1 species
CUACGGGCUGCAGCAGUGAGGAAUAUUGCACAAUGGGGGGAACCCUGAUGCAGCAACGCCGCGUGGAGGAUGACGCAUUUCGGUGUGUAAACUCCUUUUAUAUGUCAAGAAAAUGACGGUAGCAUAUGAAUAAGCACCGGCUAACUCCGUGCCGGAGCAGCCGCGGUAAUACGGAGGGUGCAAGCGUUACUCGGAAUCACUGGGCGUAAGGGACGCGUAGGCGGGUUGGAAAGUCAGGUGUGAAAUCCUACAGCUUAACUGUAGAACUGCACUUGAAACUUCUAAUCUAGAGUAUGGGAGGAGGAGAUGGAAUUAGUGGUGUAGGGGUAAAAUCCGUAGAUAUCACUAGGAAUACCUAAAGCGAAGGCGAUCUCCUGGAACAUUACUGACGCUAAGGCGUGAAAGCGUGGGGAGCAAACAGGAUUAGAUACCCCCGUAGUC